GAGAUUGUCUCCGUAACCUUCCUUCUUCAUGAAUGAAUACCUGCGCAAGCUUUGUCUCAGCAAACUUUACAUGACAACAACCCCAUUCAUACAGAGAAGGUCAAGCUCUGUCAGGUAUAAAUAGCACAGAACCUUUUGGAACCACUGUGUCUGCAAACCGAGGUGGAAUUCAGCCCACAGCCCUUGCUUUCAGUACGAGUCGAGCAUUUUCUGAAUUCCAUCCUGCCCACAGACAGCAUGCUAUGCAGUAUGCAGUCCUUCUGAGCGUGUAUUUCUCAGAGGGAGAUAAACUAAGAUGGCUUUUCUUAGUCUUCAGAACAUUCUUUUCUACACAUAGCAGAGAUGCUGCCUAGAGUGAGAAAGUUUCGCGAUGCCUGACAACUUCCACGGUACAGUGGGAACAGCAUUUUGAGGUGGCAAAACUUCAGCUGAGAAUUCAAUAGCUGAAACAGCAACAUCCACAAGCCUGAGCCUCAACCUUAUAAGAGUUACGGGCAGCUUCUCCACGGACUACAGACUGCAACCGCUGGCAUCAAUACUAGACAAUAUUUUGUUCCUGGAUGCCUCAGAGGGAAAGCACUUCCACUGGCAGGCAGAGAGUUCGCCCAGGAAACAAUUCAGUUGCCUGAAGACAAUCAUCUACUGCCAUCCCAGCUGCCCCCACAGCAUCUGAGAUAUCCACACAGGACGUAGAGAUGACACGGGAUCUAAAAGAGACCCCCACCUUCUGGAGCAGCACCUUGGGCUAAUUUUGGACAUUUAUUUUCAGCUAUUUUACAUUUUUCUCUGGCAAAAGGAAAAGUGAUUGAUCAGUGCAUAGAGAGAAAUUGAUGAAAAAUGCAUAAGAUGGGGGAAAAAAAAAUAAAAAAUACAACAGUUGAAUGUGGUGAAUGAGGAUAUGAUCUGUCCCUGAGCUUGGUACUUCAUCAAUAUUUGACCAUUUAAAUUUUAAAGCAAUAGUUAAUGAGGCAAAUGAAAAACUUAAUGUUAUGUGUAUAAAGAUGAUUAGGAUCAAAUUAUGUACAUGAGAA